AACGAACGCUGGCGGCAUGCCUAACACAUGCAAGUCGAACGAUACCUUCGGGUCUAGUUGCGCACGGGUGCGUAACGCGUCGGAAUCUUCACGUGGGGUCGGAAUAACAGUUGGAAACGACCGCCAAUACCGGAUGAUGACUUAAGUCCAAUGAUGUAUUGCCCCAGGAUGAGCCCGCGUAGAAUUAGCUAUUUGGUGAGGUAAAGGAGCGCCAAGGCGACGAUACUUAGCUGGUGUGAGAGGAUGAUCAGACACACUGGGAGUGAGACACGGCGCAGACUCCUACGGGAGGAAGCAAUGGGGAAUAAUGGACAAUGGGCGAGAGACUAAGCCAGCCAUGCCGCGUGAGUGAUGAAGGCGUUAGGGUUGUAAAGCUGUGUUAACCGCGAUGAAAAUGACGGUACCGGGAGAGUAAGCGACGGCUAACUACGUG
rnacentral:rRNA from 1 species